CCUACGGGAGGCUGCAGUCGAGAAUCUUUCACAAUGGGGGAAACUCUGAUGGUGCGACGCCGCGUGGGGGAAUGAAGGUCUUCGGAUUGUAAACUCCUGUCAUGUGGGAGCAAACUAAAACGAUCGUAUCACAAUAGGCAGAGCCUGCUAACUCUGUGCCAGCAGCCGCGGUAAGACAGAGGAGGCAAGCGUUGUUCGUAACCACUGGGCGUAAAGGGUGCGUAGGCUGUUUCGUAAGUUAGGUGUGAAAGGCGGAGGUGCAACCCUGGGACUGCACAUGAUACUGCGGGACUAGAGUGGAGGAGGGGGAACCGGAAUGCUCGGUGUAGCAGUGAAAUGCGUAGAUAUCGGGAGGAACACUCGUGGCGAAGGCGGGUUGCUAGACAUUAACUGACGCUGAGGCACGAAGGCGAGGGGAGCGAAAGGGAUUAGAUACCCUUGUAGUC
rnacentral:rRNA from 1 species